UACGGGGGGAGGCAAGCGUUGUUCGGAUUUACUGGGCGUAAAGGGCGCGUAGGCGGCCACUGCAAGUCGGUUGUGAAAUCUCCGGGCUUAACCCGGAAGGUCAAUCGAUACUGCAGGGCUAGAGUGCGGAAGGGGCAACUGGAAUUCUCGGUGGUAGCGGUGAAAUGCGUAGAUAUCGAGGAGGAACACCGGUGGCGAAG
rnacentral:rRNA from 1 species